UCAUGAAAGCCGUUUGUACCCGAAGUCAUCGUGCUAACCGCAAGGAGGCAGAGUGGCCGAAGGUAUGGAGUGGUGAUUGGGAGUG
rnacentral:rRNA from 1 species